rnacentral:lncRNA from 1 species
AUAUAUAUCUAUGCAUAUAUAUCUAUGCAUAAGCAUAGAUAUAUAUAUGCUUAAUUAAACUUGCAGAAGUCAAAUCCAGCAGGUAAAUGAAUACCUCGAUAGCUUGGUAUGGAAGAUGGUGUUGGACCUCACCAAGAAUCAAUAAUUGCCCUAUCCUACAUCUAUGCUCCAAACUUCAACUACACAACUCAAGAAACGGACAGAGGAACUGCGCAGCAAUGUUCUCCCAGCAGCCUGACGUCAUUCUGCAUUGGUUGGAGUGAGACUGGGCAGAGCGUGGCUGACGCUGACAGGAAAGAGAUUAUGCAGGACUGACCAAAAUUCACAACGAGAAGGGGGUUGCCUACUACAAUGGGAAUUUCUCCAGACAAGUUAAAAAAACAAAGGCUUCAACAUCAGGUAACUUACAUGUAUAUUUAAUUUGAUAUAAGAAAACGAAUAGGGCCUGAUGAUGACUCUUUUUGUUUUAGAACAUUAAUAAAAAUAUUUCCACCAACAAACAUUUCAUAGGCAUUAUUCUUAUUUUAUUACAGAAGCUAUACAUUAUAAAAUCAAAGA